AACGAACGCUGGCGGCAGGCCUAACACAUGCAAGUCGAGCGCUGCAGCAAUGCAGAGCGGCAGACGGGUGAGUAACGCGUGGGAACCUUCCCAGUGGUACGGAAUAGCCCAGGGAAACUUGGGGUAAUACCGUAUACGCCCGAAAGGGGAAAGAUUUAUCGCCAUUGGAUGGGCCCGCGUAGGAUUAGCUAGUUGGUGAGGUAACGGCUCACCAAGGCGACGAUCCUUAGCUGGUCUGAGAGGAUGAUCAGCCACACUGGGACUGAGACACGGCCCAGACUCCUACGGGAGGCAGCAGUGGGGAAUAUUGGACAAUGGGCGCAAGCCUGAUCCAGCCAUGCCGCGUGAGUGACGAGGGUCUUCGGAUUGUAAAGCUCUUUUGGCGGGGACGAUAAUGACGGUACCCGCAGAAUAAGCCCCGGCUAACUUCGUGCCAGCCGCCGCAGUAAUAC
rnacentral:rRNA from 1 species